rnacentral:piRNA from 1 species
UGCUGCAAGUGAAGCAGAAUGACUACGUGC